AAUACGCGGAGGAAAAGAAACUAACAAGGAUUCCCCUAGUAACGGCGAGUGAAGCGGGAAGAGCUCAAAUUUGUAAUCUGGCACUUUCAGUGUCCGAGUUGUAAUCUCGAGAAGUGUUUUCCGCGCCGGACCGCAUACAAGUCUGUUGGAAUACAGCGUCAUAGUGGUGAGAACCCCGUAACUGAUGCGGAUGCCCGGUGCUUUGUGAUACACUUUCGAAGAGUCGAGUUGUUUGGGAAUGCAGCUCAAAUUGGGUGGUAAAUUCCAUCUAAAGCUAAAUAUUGGCGAGAGACCGAUAGCGAACAAGUACCGUGAGGGAAAGAUGAAAAGCACUUUGGAAAGAGAGUUAACAGUACGUGAAAUUGUUGGAAGGGAAACGAUUGAAGUCAGACUUGUUAUCUGGAGUUCAGCCUUUCGGUGUACUCUCCAGUUUACAGGCCAGCAUCAGUUUUCGGGGCGGGAAAAUCGUAAUUAGAAGGUAGCAGCCUAGCUGUGUUACAGCUUUUUACUGGAUUCCGCUUUGGGGACUGAGGAACGCAGUGUGCUUUUAGCAAUACCCUCGGGUAUUUCACACUUAGGAUGCGGGA
rnacentral:rRNA from 1 species